AGUGAACGCUAGUGGCGUGCUUAACACAUGCAAGUCGAACGGACGAUAUUUGUGCUUGCACAAAUAAAGUUAGUGGCAAACGGGUGAGUAAUACAUGAGAAUUUUCCUUGCAGUACGGAAUAACUAUUGGAAACAGUAGCUAAUACCGUAUAUUGCCGAGAGGUGAAAGAUUUAUCGCUGCAAGAUAAGCCCAUGCAAGAUUAGCUUGUUGGUGAGGUAAUGGCUCACCAAGGUGAUGAUAGGUAGCCGGCCUGAGAGGGUGAUCGGCCACAUUGGGACUGAGAUACGGCCCAGACUCCUACGGGAGGCAGCAGCUAAGAAUAUUCCGCAAUGGGGGAAACCCUGACGGAGCAAUCUCUCAUGGAUGAUGAAUGUCUUCGGAUUGUAAAAUCCUUUCGGCAAGGAAGAAUGUGUAGAGUAGGAAAUGGCUUUGCAUUGACGGUACUUGCAGAAGAAGUCCCGGCUAACUACGUGCCAGCCGCCGCCGUAAGAC
rnacentral:rRNA from 1 species